UACGAAGGGUGCAAGCGUUAAUCGGAAUUACUGGGCGUAAAGCGCGCGUAGGUGGCUCAGUAAGUUGGAAGUGAAAUCCCCGGGCUCAACCUGGGAACUGCAUUCAAAACUGCUGAGCUAGAGUACGGUAGAGGGUGGUGGAAUUUCCUGUGUAGCGGUGAAAUGCGUAGAUAUAGGAAGGAACACCAGUGGCGAAGGCGACCACCUGGACUGAUACUGACACUGAGGUGCGAAAGCGUGGGGAGCAAACAGG
rnacentral:rRNA from 1 species